AGUGAACGCUGGCGGUAGGCCUAACACAUGCAAGUCGAACGGCAGCACAGUAAGAGCUUGCUCUUACGGGUGGCGAGUGGCGGACGGGUGAGGAAUACAUCGGAAUCUACUUUUUCGUGGGGGAUAACGUAGGGAAACUUACGCUAAUACCGCAUACGACCUACGGGUGAAAGCAGGGGAUCUUCGGACCUUGCGCGAUUGAAUGAGCCGAUGUCGGAUUAGCUAGUUGGCGGGGUAAAGGCCCACCAAGGCGACGAUCCGUAGCUGGUCUGAGAGGAUGAUCAGCCACACUGGAACUGAGACACGGUCCAGGGUCCUACGGGAGGCAGCAGUGGGGAAUAUUGGAAAAUGGGCGCAAGCCUGAACCAGCCAUACCGCGUGGGUGAAGAAGGCCUUCGGGUUGUAAAGCCCUUUUGUUGGGAAAGAAAAGCAGCAGGUUAAUACCCCGCUGUUCUGACGGUACCCAAAGAGUAAGCACCGGCUAACUUCGU
rnacentral:rRNA from 1 species